UGGUCCCGCUAAACAAAGGAACAAGUGUGCUGCAAACCAUUCCCCCCACCCCGUUCCUCCUCCCCCUCCCCCGAUCGCGCCGGCUGCACCAGGAGAGGGCCAGGCCUUGCUUGCACUGCCAUUUGUCACCGCAGCCCGCACACCCCGCCAGGCCUCGGGGCCCCGCAGGGAUGGAGGGGGAGCAGGGGCUCGAGCCUCUGCUGCUCCCAUCACCGCCCUGGAAAUAGCAUCUGAGCUCGCACCACCCAGCUUUCCCCCCCCUCCCCCAAGCUGCUAAGAUUUCAUUUCACCUCCGACAGGCUUCAUGGGGACUCGCUGUGAAAAGAUCACUCUCCCGGGACGCGGGCCGUGGGAGGGGGCCCGGGACUGUAUACAGCUGUCAAAACGUCUCCAACAGGAGGCUGAGGCCCAGCUGCUCCAGCCUGGCUCAGGCGCCGGGCACGCGGGGAGCACAGUGGACCUAUCAGUGCUGCACCGAGCGGAAUGAGGAAUCCUCCUCCUGCUGGCUGAUGUCCCAGGUUCAGCUUCUCACUGCUCGAGCUGCCAUCUCAGUUGUACCGUUGCUCGCGAGCUGCUGGUUGGCCCACAACAGUCUAUCAGGUCUAUGCUGGAGAACUUCAAGCCCAGGAUAAAGAAGACGGGGACCUCGUGAGUUCUCGGUGGAUCGAGAAUGGAGCUGGACAGUGAGGAGAGUGUCAGGCAUCUGGUCUCUUCCUUGAUUUCCCCAUUCCUUGCUGGACAAAACAAGUAGUGGAUUUAGUUGGUGUCUUCAAUAAACGUAUUGGAAGGAUGCUAUCAAAACAGAAUUUAUGAUAUACAUUUAAAAUGUAUUCACUAGGAAUAAACUUUCCCUGCCCCUGAAUGUGGGAGGGCCUCACGAAUUUAAAAAAAAAAAAAGAUGUUUAUUAGGAGUCAACGUACAUCUCCAACCAUA